UGAAUUUCGGGGUGAACUAAACAAGACCGAAAUCGAUGUCCACGGAAAAAAAUACAAAUCUAGCAUAGUAUCAUAGUUCAAAAAUUAUGAUACAAAAUAAAUAUAUUAGAUUUAUUAUGAAAUGUAUUUUUAUAAUAAAAUAAUUUGAAACCAUAAAUAUAAAUAUUUUUCAUGAGAAAUUUGAUCAAAUGUGAAUUAAUUUUGGUGGCUGGUAACUUGCAGUUAUAUAUUCUUUCUAGACAGAGUACCAAAAUGCAAAGGAUUCGGUCGACUAGUUUUGUCAGACAGAAGAAUCCACGCUGCAGAUCUGAAGUCCAUUCAGCCAGUGUAAGGACACACGGAUCUGCAGCAGUUCUGCCUGCCUGCCCUGUAUCAUGAACACAACAGGUCUGUCCAGUUGUACAAUGCCUCAUGAUGAUCCCUCCAACAUGCAGUCAUGCAGUUGCAAGAUUAAAGGGUGCAUUAUAGUGGAGGAGCAUUUUCAGAGAUCAAUGGUGGCACAGGGCAACAGACUUUUCUUCACAGUAGCUAAGCUAAUCAAGCACAGUUGAAAGAUUAAGGUUUGCAUAGUGGAGGAGCAUUUUCAGAGAUCAAUGGUGGCACAGGGCAACAGACUUUUCUUCACAGUAGCUAAGCUAAUCAAGCACAGUUGAAAGAUUAAGGUUUGCAUAGUGGAGGAGCAUUUUCAGAAGUUGUUAUAGCAUGAUGUGCCAGAGGCUGAGGGACAAAGAAAGGUGUGCCAGCCUACGAACCUGCCAGAAAUUCAGGCUACCUGUCCAACGCAAGAACCUUCCAAGCCUCCAGGCAAAAGUACCCAGGUUUCAUGGCAGCUCAUAUGUCUACCUCUACAUAUACAUGCAUUUUAUUGUAUCGUAUCAUUCACCAUUAUUUUUCAUCCAUGCAUGUGGACGUUAUUUUAUUUUCAGCCCUAGUAUAUAUAUAUAAAUACUGUUCUGACGUGGUACCAAAUUGCAGCUCAGAUUUGUAGUUUACUCUACAAGCCACGCUCACCUGUUUCGGAGCUAUCUUCAGACAGCAACCUCACGAGAAGGCACCACCAACCCGGUGCACUGCACACACUUGUGCCAGCCUUUGUAUUGUGGCCCAUACAUAGUUUUCCUUGAUUACUACAGAUAAACUAACAUUAGGAACAUGUGUGGGUCUCAGAAUAGGAUACUGCAUGCAAAGGCUGUGCCUCUUUGCUUCCCCUUGCUUUUGACUUCAGCAUGAGAAUCCUGUCCCUGAUAAACCUAGGAAUAUUUCUGUAAAAAAGGAACUGGGACCUUCAUCCAGUCCUCCAGGCAAUGCCACCCUGUCACCGGACUUUAGAUGACAAAGUAAAGAUCAAUGAUGCAGCAAAAUAGGUUUUAUCUAGCCUCAUAGCCUGUGCUUAUCUAAUAUCUAUGUGUCAGGUUUUGUGGGCUAACGGUUGAAAGCUCAGUAACCAAAGAUGGGGAAGAAAACAAUGGUUAUGAGAGUGAUCUGGAGGAUCAGGACCACUACUACAGCAAGGUGCAAGGAAGGUGCACCAUCCUUUUCUUCAACACAAUCUACCAGUUAACCAAAGCUUGUGCUUACAGAAUUUAUAGUGUAUUCUUAUCCAGGCAAAAAAAAUGUACACAAUCGCAGUGUUGGUGACCAUAUCUAUCGAGGUAUGAGCAUACUGCAAUGUAAUAAAAUAUCAGAGAAGAAAGAAAGUCAAGUAGUCAUCCUAUUCAUUCCCUCUUUCAUCAAGAAAACUUACAGUGAACGCGCUACCUAUCUGUAUCUACAAAGAAUCAUUUCCCUUAGAUAUGUAAAAAAAUCGAUGGUUCU